GCCCUUAGUGUCGUAUAUCUCGUAACUCUGUGAGCCAUGAAAAUCCUACAUUGAAUUUACGAGCUGAGAUGCAAAGUGCUCAGAAAUACAUAACGAAAAAAUAGCAGUUGUAGUAGUCGUAGUAGAAGAAGUUGUAGUAGUAGAAGUGUUAGUAGUAGCCGUUGCAGCCCUUAGUGUCGUAUAUCUCGUAACUCCAUGAUGAAAUACUGCAAUGUUGACCUGAUUCCGUGCAGACCGUCGCUCCUUGUGUUGUCGCUGCGAUUAUUCCGAAGCGUUGCUCGUACACGAUAAAACUUACAAAGACGAACAGGAUAGAAGGAUGGAAAGAGGAAGAGGGAACAGGACAGGACAGAUAAAUAGCCUAGUCAAUAAGACACACCUUAAAUUUACAAGGAGAGGAAAAUAAGUACCCUAGAACAAGCAGUCUGGAAAAUAAGUCACCAGGUGUGUUUGCAAGACUAAAAUGGACAGGGAGGGAAGGGAGAGGAACAAGGAAGGAAAGUGAGGAGGAGGAAGGGGAGGAGAGGAAGGAACAGAAGAGAGGGACAUGGAGGAAAGAAUGGAGAGAGGAGAGGAAGGAGACGGAGAGAGAGGGAAGGAAAGGGAGGAAAGGAGGAAGGAGAGGAAAGGAAGGAACGGAGGAGAGGGACAUGGAGGAAAGAAUGGAGAGAACAGGGAGGAAGGAAAGGAAUGGAGGAAGGAUGAAUGGGAGGUAGGAGGAGGAGGAGGAGGAGGAGGAGGAGGAGGCAAUGGAGGAAAGGAAGGAACAGAGGAGAGGGACAUGGAGGAAAGAAUGGAGAGAACAGGGAGGAAGGAGAGAGGAGAGGACGGAGACAGAGAGAGAGAGGGAAGGAAAGGAAAGGAAAGAAGGAUGAAUGGGAGGUAGGAGGAGGAGGAGGAAGAGGAGGAGGAGGAGGAGGAGGAGGAGGAGGCAAUGGGGCACAAACUACCACUAUCAAACAGGAGUGAAUCUCGUCACAUAUUGCUUCACUAAUGACGGGAUAGGGGAAUGGCACCUCGCGGCCCUCACACUACAGGGGGGGGGAACGCUACCCUAAGAACACAUCACUCUGUACGCCGGAACACUGGACCUCCGCGACGCACACCCCAGACAUGCCCGACGCUCACUGGUUCCUUAGGGGGUGGAUAUUUUCUUCAUCGGCAAUAUUAACUCUAAAUUUUUGUUUAGUUAUCCAUGAAUUUAUUUGGUUUUCUUUCUUUCUUUAUUUGUUGACUCAGGAACUUCAUUUCUCGACAGUGUUAACUUUUCUUUGGUAACGAUUCUUAUAUCAAUUUCUUCUAUUUAUUAACCGAUUAUAUUUUUGUUCAUUUGUUUAUCGACCCUGGUGGUAGUGUGACCCUUCUUCUGUACCAUGAACCUAAGAAACACAUAUUUGACAAGGCUUUCAUAGGAGUUGUGGGCAUUUUCAGGGGUAGUUUCAUGGCCCUGGUGGUAGUGUGACCCUUCUUCUGUACCAUGAACCU